AAAGUUCAUAUCAACUUUGUUUUUAAUAUACAUUAAUAUAAUAUAAAUCAAUUUUGACAAAACAAAUUUUAUCUGUAGGAAAAUUGCCUCUAAAAUAAUGCCAGGUAGCUGGAAGGAACCACAGAAGAAGGGAAUGUGAAUAUAAAUAUGUGUUGCUAGUAUAAGACAAAAAACACCCACAGAUAUCUCCUGUACUAACUAAUCACCUCUUAAAUUAAUAGAAUCUACACACACAGACUGACAGCCUGGACUGCUCAGGGUAAGUGGAGGACACUCUGCCAGUAGUAAGAUGUAAAUGUUAAUUUCAAAUAAUAACUUGCUUUUUUUUUAGUAUGCUCUCUACAUUGCCACUGGAAGAGCAUUUGAUUUCAGUCAGGUCAGUGGUUUAAGUGGAAGAUUUGUUUGAAUAUUGUGAUUUUUUUUAUUCAUAGAAUUUAUUGUAAUUUCCAGAUUUACAUAUUUUAGGAAGACAUGCCAAAAAUUAGAAGAUGGUGGUGUCAUCUCUUACUUCGCAAAGCCAGCAUUAAAGCCAAGACAUCGGUCUUCACUUUCCACACGAGAAGAAGGACAUUCUGUGCCCCACGGGCAGUGCUUCGUAAUUAGCAGUUGAAAAGCUUUCUGACACUAAUUUUAUAUAUUAGAACUUCACAAAAAGACUUUGACCAACAGGUCACACAGCAGGUCUCCGGUGAGGCUGUCACUGACUUGUGUCUCUCGUCAGCCCUGUGGUGUGUCAGUGGUAUUAUGGGGGCAGAAAAUGGUGGUCUUAAAAAUGAGUGUUUUGUGUGCUUGUGCUCUAACUGAUUUAUUAAAUGGCAAUUAUUUCUGCUUCCAGCAAUUCCAGACAAGAUAGGAAAGAGCAAGGACUUUUCUCCCCCACCCUUCUUUUCCAUUACUGAAGAAUAUGAAAAUGUUGACUGAAUUAUUUAUGCCAGUACAAUUAAUAGUAUAACAUUUACUUUACUGUUCCUAAAAUUUAGGCAAUGAAUGGCUUCAUAGAGUUGCUUUUGUGGAGUGUAACUUUUUGACCGUUUUCCUUGUUAUUCAAAGAUCAAUUUCAUCUGUGGCAACAGGCGACAUUAACUGAAUGUGCAGUAUCAUUCAGAAAUCAACCAGUCUAGAAUGGAGUGAUCGCUUGCUUCAGUCUUAAUUGAUCCAAAACAUCCUGACUGCUUGUGACUGGCUGGAUGCCAACAAAGACCAACUUGUUGGCACAGUCCUCCAGCCAAGAAUUCUGGAAAUGGACGAGGAUGAAGUUACAUACACAAUUAAAAAAUAAGAACAAAGGGGAGACAAUGAAGAGACUGAAGAAGUCAUGUCCACCUUCUUAUUUACUUUUGAAUGCCUGAAGGACAUGAACUUUUUUCUUGAUGAGAUACGGGUUAAAAAAAAUAUUCCCAUCAGUUGCUGCUGUUCG